ACCUAGCCCCUAAACACUGACAUGUGGUCAGUUUUUUGUUUGACCCUCUAAAGGUUAUGGUUAGGACUUGGGGAGGGUAAGCUGAUCCUAGAUCUGUGUCUAAGGGUCAGCAUUCUGGGCCAGGUCACGGAAGACAGGGUUAUGCAUAGCUACCACAUAAAUCAUGUUAAUCAACGGUACCUGUGACAUUCAAACUGAAAUAAAAACACAGUUUGGUUUUCCUAGUAUAGUGUAGUUGUGAUGAUAAGGCUGUUAUCAGAUUCAUUGGAACAAAAUGAUAAACCCCAACCCUUUUUUGAAUGCAUUCCGCAAAAACAUUAAAAAAAAUAGAAAAUUCAUUGUUUUUAUCUAUGUACGCUACCUUUCAAAAGUUUGGGGUCACUUAGAAAUAAAUGUCCUUGUUUUUGAAAGAAAAGCACAUUGUCCAUUAAAAUAACAUCAAAUUGAUCAGAAAUACAGUGUAGACAUUGUUAAUGUCAUAAAUGACUAUUGUUGCUGGAAAUGGCAGAUUUUUUAUGGAAUAUCUACAUAGGCGUACAGAGACCCAUUAUCAGCAACCAUCACUCCUGUGUUCCAAUGGCACAUUGUGUUAGCUAAUAUCAUUUUAAAAGGCUAACUGAUCAUUAGAAAACCCUUCCGCAAUUAUGUUAGCACAGCUGAAAACUGUUGUCUGAUUAAAGAAGCAAUAAAAUUGGCCUUCUUUAGACUAUUUGAGUAUCUGGAGCAUCAGCAUUUGUGGGUUCGAUUACAGGCUUAAAAUGGCCAGAAACUUUCUUCUGAAUCUUGUCAGUCUAUUCUUGUUCUGAGGAAUGAAGGCUAUUCCAUGCAAGAAAUUGCCAAGAAACUGAAGAUCUCGUACAACGCUAUGUACUACUCCCUUCGCAGAACAGCACAAUGUGCCAUUGGAACACAGGAGUGAUGGUUGCUGAUAAUGGGCCCCUGUACGCCUAUGUAGAUAUUCUAUAAAAAAUACAAAAUAAAAUCUGCCGUUGCCAGCUACAAUAGUCAUUUACAACAUCAACAAUGUCUACACUGUAUUUCUGAUCAAUGUGAUGCUAUUUUAAUGGAGAACAUUUUUUUUAAUUUUUAAACAAGGACAUUUCUAAGUGACCCCAAACUUUUGAACAGUAGUGUAUAUUUGCACAAGUGGUUAACAACAGCCAUACAUUUAGAUUACAUAGUAGUUAUAUCUAUUAAGAUAAUAUACCGUACUUGGUGCUGAUUCAAUCAUAAAAACCUUAUCAAAGGGCAUUUGAAUGCAACUUCAACCAGCCUCUGACUACCAAAGAGUCCAGUCCACCCUCUCCGUGUCUCUUUCAGACUUCUAAAGAGCCACUCAUUCUGGCAGUCCUUCACUAAAUACCAGGAGUUCUUUAGAUAGUGGAUAUCCCUUAAGGCAAUCUUACUUUAGGGUGUAGGGGCUUUUGCCUAUUGUUAAUAGAUGAAUUAGAGACCAAACCCUAGUGUUUGAAGUCUAAGCCCUGAACACCAUUGAUGUCCAGUGCGUUAUGAGGGAUCAGAGUUAAGACAUUUCAGAAAUGUUCCCAAAAAUUCCAGAAAUCCUAGUUGAAUUGACAGAAUAUUUUAUUUUGGAACUCUACAUUUUUUUUUUUACCUUUAUUUAACUAGGCAAGUCAGUUAAGAACAAAUUCUUAUUUUCAAUGACAGCCUAGGAACAGUGGGUUAACUGCCUGUUCAGGGGCAGAACAACAGACCUUGUCAACUCGAGGAUUUGAACUUGCAACCUUUCAGUUACUAGUCCAACGCUCUAACCACUAGGCUACCCUGCCGCCCAAGAGGGAUGUGCUAUGUCUAUGCCAUGUUAUGACCUUGUAUAGCCCGCCCAGCACUCCUCAUGACAGUCAUUCCUCUCCAACUGGUUGGGCCAGGUGACUGGUCAUUCCUCUCCAGCUGGUUGGGCCAGGUGACGGGUCAUUCCUCUCCAGCUGGUUGGGCCAGGUGACGGGUCAUUCCUCUCCAGCUGGUUGGGCCAGGUGACGGGUCAUUCCUCUCCAGCUGGUUGGGCCAGGUGACGGGUCAUUCCUCUCCAGCUGGUUGGGCCAGGUGACGGGUCAUUCCUCUCCAGCUGGUUGGGCCAGGUGACUUGUCAUUCCUCUCCAGCUGGCUGGGCCAGGUGACGGGUCAUUCCUCUCCAGCUGGUUGGGCCAGGUGACGGGUCAUUCCUCUACAGCUGGUUGGGCCAGGUGACCGGUCAUUCAUCUCCAGCUGGUUGGGCCAGGUGACUUGUCAUUCCUCUCCAGCUGGUUGGGCCAGGUGACGGGUCAUUCCUCUCCAGCUGGUUGGGCCAGGUGACGGGUCAUUCCUCUCCAGCUGGUUGGGCCAGGUGACGGGUCAUUCCUCUCCAGCUGGUUGGGCCAGGUGACUUGUCAUUCCUCUCCAGCUGGUUGGGCCAGGUGACGGGUCAUUCCUCUCCAGCUGGUUGGGCCAGGUGACGGGUCAUUCCUCUCCAGCUGGUUGGGCCAGGUGACGGGUCAUUCCUCUCCAGCUGGUUGGGCCAGGUGACGGGUCAUUCCUCUCCAGCUGGUUGGGCCAGGUGACUUGUCAUUCCUCUCCAGCUGGUUGGGCCAGGUGACGGGUCAUUCCUCUCCAGCUGGUUGGGCCAGGUGACUUGUCAUUCCUCUCCAGCUGGUUGGGCCAGGUGACGGGUCAUUCCUCUCCAGCUGGUUGGGCCAGGUGACUUGUCAUUCCUCUCCAGCUGGUUGGGCCAGGUGACGGGUCAUUCCUCUAAAGCUGGUUGGGCCAGGUGACGGGUCAUUCAUCUGAAGCUGGUUGGGCCAGGUGACGGGUCAUUCAUCUCCAGCUGGUUGGGCCAGGUAACUGGUCAUUCCUCUCCAGCUGGUUGGGCCAGGUACGGGUCAUUCCUCUCCAGCUGGUUGGGCCAGGUGACUGGUCCCAGACCCCCACACUCUGUCAGUCGCCGCCUGCAGAGUGGUGUUCUCUGGGAUAUAUAUAUGAUCACCAUGGACAAGCAGCUCUUUCUGUUUUCAAGACCUAUUAGAAAGAACGGACUAGUCGACUGGUGCCUGGCCAAUAUCAGUGUAACUUUGUCACUAUGAGAUCAGAGGGUUUGUCCCAAAUGGCACCCUAUUUACUAUGUAGUGCAGUACACUACUGUUGACCAUAGCCCUAUGGGCCUCAGUCAAAAGUAGUGCAUCUAUUUCAUAUAUAGUGCACUACUUUUGACAAGGGCCAAAAAGUAGUGCACUAUAUAGGGAGCCAUUUCAGACACAACCAUAUAAUUUGUUUUUACCUUUAUUUAACUGGGCAAGUCAGUUAAGAACAAAUUCUUAUUUUCAACGACAGCCUAGGAACAGUGGGUUAACUGCCUGUUCAGGGGCAGAACAACAGAUUUUUACCAUGUCAGCUCUGGGAUUUGAUCUUGCAACCUUUCGGUUACAAGUCCAACACUCUAACCACCAGGCUGCCUUGGUCACACCUUAUAUGGUUCCUGGCUGGUAAACAGUUUCAACUCCUACUCAGGACAAGGUGCAGAUCAAGGUGACUAAAACAUACAGUGUAGACCUGCCAAUUGGCCAGGAUAAUGUAAUCAUGUAAUAUCAUGGGAUUGGCUGUUGGUUAUAUAACCUGGGAGGUUCCAGUGCCAUCUGAUAGGUGGAGAUGGCCUUGGGACAGAUCCAAAGGUUUCUAGGUGUGUGAGUCAAAUGAUCUUACACAGUGCUUCAACGAAUCCAAACAUGUUUGGAAUCACUCUCAUAUGCGUGAAUAUCUCAUCAUUUCAAUAUCAUUGAUUAUGGAAGCCCAGUGGUUUCUUAAUAUGGCACCUAAUGCAGUAUGUCUAGAGUAGAUUGCACCUGUUGCACUUGUGACUUGGCUUGAUGCGAAGGGGACAGGAGACAGAGGGGAGUGUAGCACACGUCUGUCUACGUGUGGUAUGUCAGGUCUCUCUCUCCAUUCCCCAACAACACACCUCUUCCUGGCACUAGCAGUGCUCCUAGCCACGCCUGGACUCUGAACCCUCCUUGGCUUAGCAGUGUGAUAUCACAUGGCCCUCAGGGUGGUUGCUAGAAGCCUAGAGUGAAACAUUUUCCCUAGACCUGGAAGAUGGGCAGACAGUUGUUUUAAUUCAUCCCUGUGGCUCUGUAGAAAGUGAACUUUGACUGCUCCCUGUUGGCCACAGUGGCACCAGGGUCCGUUCAUGAGGUUUGCGUAUUUGAAAAUAUUAUUGCUACUGAAAACGAACAUGAGUGUUUCACAUUGGACAAGUCCAGGUAGUCCCUCCCUGUUUCAGUCCAUUUGGUGCAUAAUGAACAUGACCCAGCUGAGCUGAAUGAGUUCUCUGGUUUCUGGGCCACAUGGCGUUGCUGACAUGCAGGGUGGACUGAGCUGAAAAUCAACCUUUACUGUUUACCAUUCUGAUCCAGCCUGGAAGGAAAACGUUUAUUUUGACACACGAUUGGCAUAAAAUGGCAACCCAGUAAAUCUCUAGCCCUCCUAUCAGUUAGUGAUUAGCAGGGGGAUUUGGCUUCCUCUGAGAAUAGACUAUUGAUUUGGCCUGGUUCAGGUGUUUAGUACAUGCUCCUUAACUACAUAGUGGAGUAGUACACACUAACAACCUGGACCAGAACUAAUAUUGAUUAUACAUUCCACAAUUCCUCCUAAAAUAUGGACACUGCUUAGUUACAACACACGACUGCACUCUGUUACCUGUGAAUGUGUUUAGUAUAUAUAAGACAAUCAAUGAAGGUAUGGAAACCAGGUUGGAAGGCAAGUGGGCCAAUUAAAUGUAUCCUUCUAACCAGAUCAGAGGGCGAGUGGGCCAAUUAAAUGUAUCCUUCUAACCAGGUCAGAGGGCGAGUGGGCCAAUUAAAUGUAUCCUUCUAACCAGGUCAGAGGGCGAGUGGACCAAUUAAAUGUAUCCUUUUAACCAGGUUGCACUUAUCUUGUGCUGCAAGAAUGGCCUUUAGGAUUUAUGAAUCGAAAGUGUUACUCAAAAUAAUCUGAACUGCUUAUUACAGUAAUAAAUUAAAGCAUGCUCUAAUGUUGAGGGGAAAAUAUUUAAAUCCUAUCCAAAACAAUGUCAUCAGUUUUGAUUUAAGAGGUCCCUUAGGAUUGUUGACACAGCCCACAAAGUUCAAUAGACCUGUUCCAUAUUAGAUCAAAUGACCUAUUUCAUAUGUAUGACUGUGUUUUUUCACCCUUGACCCAUAUCAUUCCCUCCCCUCAUUCUCUGUUUUCUUUCUCCCUUAUUCUCCCUCUUCUCUCUCGUUCUACCUCCAUUCUCUCUCUUUCUC